rnacentral:rRNA from 1 species
CCUACGGGUGGCAGCAGUGGGGAAUAUUGGACAAUGGGCGAAAGCCUGAUCCAGCCAUGCCGCGUGUGUGAAGAAGGCCUUCGGGUUGUAAAGCACUUUCAGUGGGGAAGAAAGCCUUGGGGCUAAUACCCUCGAGGAAGGACAUCACCCACAGAAGAAGCACCGGCUAACUCCGUGCCAGCAGCCGCGGGAAUACGGAGGGUGCGAGCGUUAAUCGGAAUUACUGGGCGUAAAGCGCGCGUAGGCGGUCUGAUAAGCCGGUUGUGAAAGCCCCGGGCUCAACCUGGGAACGGCAUCCGGAACUGUCAGGCUAGAGUGCAGGAGAGGAAGGUAGAAUUCCCGGUGUAGCGGUGAAAUGCGUAGAGAUCGGGAGGAAUACCAGUGGCGAAGGCGGCCUUCUGGACUGACACUGACGCUGAGGUGCGAAAGAGUGGGUAGCAAACAGGAUUAGAUACCCUAGUAGUC